AUCCAGCAGCGAAAAGUGUAUCGGAGAAAAGAUGGGGUGUUCCUUUACUUUGAAGACAAUGCAGGAGUGAUAGUGAAUAACAAAGGAGAAAUGAAAGGCUCUGCAAUCACAGGCCCAGUUGCCAAGGAAUGUGCAGAUCUCUGGCCCAGGAUUGCUUCCAAUGCUGGAAGCAUUGCAUAAGAACUGUAAAGGCUUAAGCUGUCUACAAUUCAAUAAAUUUUUUUCCAUCCAGAAA